CCGGACAGGAGCACUUUGUAGGAGUUGGAGGCAAAUUCCUCAAAUUACAAAUAUUUCAUUAAUCUGUGUUUUUCAGGACUGCAACUAGAGGUUUAAAAACUUCUGGAUCACUUUCUGGACUGACUUUACAAGUGAGAUUUCUGCAGGAAACGGAGGACCCUGAGCUGCACUUUUGCAGCUCCAAAACAAUGGCAGAGUGCAUGCAGGAUGCCACAGUUAUCCAGGAUCGAGAAGCGGACAUUGACAACCCGAGAGAAGUUUCAACCGAGUCUACAUCAGUGGCAGCGGUCAAAGCCAGACCUGCAGACCUGGGGCUGAUUCGGAGCUUGUCCAAGUCGGACUCUGACUUGUUGGCGUCACCUUUUGGAGGAGAGGAAGAUGGAGGACUGGCUGGCCGCAGUGGGUCCGUGUCUAACUGCCGCUCUGGUCAGCCGUCCAUGGAGCGCAUGCCAUCGUUUGCUUCUGAGUGGGAUGAGAUUGAGAAGAUAAUGAACUUGAUCGGAGCAGGCAUUGAAACGUCCAAAAAGAAACAGCCCUCACCAAGCUCAGAUGGGGCCUGUGGUAAAGCCCUGGACCAGCCGGUCGGAGAGUGGCUGGAGCACGUGGGGCUGCCGCAGUACGAGAGCAAGUUCCUGCUCAAUGGCUUCGACGACCUACGAUUCAUGGGAAGUAACGUGAUGGAGGACCAGGAUCUCAGAGACGUCGGGAUCACUGACCCAGGACACAGGAAGAAAAUCCUCCAUGCGGCACGCAGCUUGCCCAAGGUGAAAGCACUGGGCUGUGAUGGCAGCACGUCUCUUGUGUCCUGGCUGGACGGCCUCGGCCUGCAUGAAUAUCUGCCCAACUUUCUUUCUAGUGGCUACCGCACACUGGAGUGUGUCAAGAACCUGUGGGAGCUGGAGAUUAUCAAUGUUAUAAAGAUUGGUGCCCUGGGCCACAGGAAGAGGAUCAUUGCCUCUCUAGCAGAGAGACCCUAUGAAGAGGCUCCGUCCAAGUCCCGUCGUCUGUCCCCAAUUAUGUUCCAUGACCUCCUGUCCCAGAACACGUCCCCCCUCAGUCAGAUGGACCCGUACACCAGCCGCUCCAUGGACAUGCUGCUGCCCUUGACUGAGUCGGACCGGAGGAGGAGAGCAGCGGAUCAGGACUGUAGUGUUUCCCUGCGGUCGUACAGCGAGAGGCCGCGCUCUGUAGACAGACAGAGUGAACGACAGAAAGACUCUCGUUUAAACCUCCGGCCUCCGAGCCAGUCUGCUACCUACGCCACGGUGUCCGCCUGGCAUCACCAGCCUGAGAAGCUCAUCCUGGACUCCUGCGGAUACGAGGCCACCUACCUAGGAUCAAUGAUCAUCAGGGAUCUACGAGGGAUUGAGUCCACACAAGAUGCCUGUGCUAAAAUUAGGAAAUCAAAGGAUUCAAGAAAGGGUCCAGUAGUCAUACUGUCCAUUACCUACAGAGGGGUCAAGUUUAUUGAUGCAGCCACGAAGACUAUAGUGGCGGAGCAUGAGAUCAGGAACAUUUCGUGCGCCGCCCAAGAUCCGGAUGACCUCUGCACUUUUGCUUACAUUACCAAGGAUCUGAAGAGUGGACACCACUUCUGUCACGUCUUCAGCACAGUGGAAGUGACACAGACAUAUGAGAUCAUCCUCACCCUUGGGCAGGCGUUUGAGGUGGCCUAUCAGAUGGCAAUGCAGUCGAGGGCGAGACACUACGUCCCGCCUACAUCUCUGCCCUCGGAGGUCAUAGAGACCAAAACCAGCCGCCCUGUGUCUCAGUCGUGGAACAGCAUGCGGAGAUCAGCAAUGGACCCCCUGGAGAUGGACGCAGACAUGCACUCCAUGGGCAGCACCACCUGGCUCUUGGACCAGCGGGACCCCCACAGGCGCCCCGUCAGCACCAAGUACGAGACCACCAUAUUCUGAGGCCGGACCCCUGCAGCCGCCCCUCUGCACUCCCUCGUACUUUUCUCUCCCCCCUGCAUCUGGGUCUUUAUUUAACUCUCACACACACACACACUCAUACAUGCGAGCCCCGUGCCUUCUCACUGUGAUGGUAUAGCAUCCCUCAGGGCGGCCUACUCCUGCACCCCCCUCUGCCCCGCCCAGCGACCCACACCGACCUCUCUUUACCUGCAAUGACAAAACACUCCUGCGGCCCCCCCCCCUCGGUACACCCUCCGGCAGCCUCCCUUCCUGUUGCUGCUGCAGCCGAUGGCGGAGCCCUGGAGCAGAUGAUCCUGGACUGAUCUCAUUUUACAGUGGCCCUGCUCUCUCAACCAAACUGCCUCUUCCUCCUCAUCCUCCUCCUCCUCCUGGCAACUUGCAUCUGCCUCCAAAUCCCCGAUAGCUCCCAGAGCCUGUCCUGUCUCACCAGGCAUCUACCACUGUGAGGCACUAAGAGGAGGCUGCUUUGAUAAGCAUGGGAUGAAAGACGGACAUUUAAAUCAAUGAAAAGACAAAACAGCAACAUGCAGCAAACAACCUGUUGUUUUUCUACGCAUUUGUACAAUACUCAUAACACCACGAUGGAUUGGUCGUGAACCUAUCACGGAUGAUGUCUGGACUCAAAUGGACCAAGAACUGAACCCUCGUACACACACACACACAGGAACUUUCCUACACUUUACAGAGGACAACAGCCUUACGUCAUUUAGGUUAUCUAUAAUCAACUAAAGCCCCCGACCUUGCUGAAUAUCACCACUACCCAACAACUGCACGCCUCCCCCUGCUUUUAAAAGACUGAAAAGAAGACGCCUCUUCUGAUUUCCUGGUGUGUUUGUUGACUGACCGUCCGAACGACGUUCUUGAUGGUACAGUUUUGUCCAUAUGAGAGUCGUUGCUCUGGCCUUUGACUGCCCUACCUGCAGUCUCUCAGCAUUCAUGGUAGCACAGAGAGACUGCUUUAAUCACAGUAUCUUCUUUGUCAAUUUAAAACAAAUAAUAUCACUGUGUUGAAUCGUGGCACUAUCCCUUUUAAUACCUUCUUUUCUUUGGUGCAUAUAGAAUAUAAAGUGCAUUUUGUGACUUUUUGAUAGACCGGGUCGAUUGAAAGGAAAGCGUGAUUUAAGGAAGGGAUCACGAAGGAUCCAAUCAUUGAAACACACCACCAAAAAUACUGUACUGACAUUACAUCUCGCAAUUUUGGUCAUCGCAACCAAAACAACGUCCUCAAACACAUUUUCCCAUUUGUAUUUUAAUGAGCCUGGAGCACAAUUUGGCGCACAUUUCCUAACAUAGCAUCCUAUUAUCAUGAUUACAUGGGUAGCUAUCCGUUCUGUUUCACACCAAUUUUAGAAUUAGCUACAGUACAUGCAAAGUAUGUCACUUGAAGAUAAACGGCAGUGAAAAGAUUUAAUUCCACUACAUAAAAAAAAGAGCCAAAUCCUAAGUGUUGCUCUGGUGUCGUGUUAAUGCGAAUGGAUUUUUAUGCUGGGAACAUGACACAGUUUUUUUGUGUUUAGAAAAAAAUGAAUUUCCCUCCUGCACUGUGACUCAAAAUGCUCGUUGUGGAGUUGACGCGUAUCUGUGGGUCCUCCCCUGUGUGCACUUCCUGCUGUAUGCCUGGUUUCUGUCUGUCCUCAUGGGAGUUUGGACUGCUGCUGUUUACAUCCUGUCCACUGUCCUUGUUUCUGUGUGAGGCAUUGAGCUCGUCUCCACUGACUGUUAAGACGGUCUGUGUGCGGUGCCACUCUGUUCUGACUGUUAGCUUCCACUGACGAUGCAUGCUGGCAGUGUUUCUGUGUUCUUGAUGCACUUGGCCUAAGCAGUCUCUGUUUGUACUGUAGCUGUGUCUCGUCUCUCCUCGCUCAUCUCGCCAUUUGCUUUUUAUGUUCCCUCCUCUCGACACCAACACAGCGCGAUUCAUCCCCAUCCCUCCCCAUGUUUCCACUGUCCUCCCAACACUUUGUAUGUUUCUUCCAUUUUCUGUGUCACCAAGACAACCUGCUCUAGUAUGGAUGAAAGAAAAGAAGGCAUUACACUUUAAUGAGCAGCAGCUAUUUAAAGCAAGUUUUGGUGGCAUGAUUUUGGCUGUGCAUGUACCAGUCUUUUUUAACAUCAAUGUUUUCCUUGUGUAGCUCACCCCAUCGUUCAAGUUUCCGGAUACCAAGCUGUGAGUUGAAGGGGAGCAGCCGAUGUGAGUGUGUGUGUUGUUGUUAGAGGGCAGAGCGGAGGGAAAAGAGGUAGAGAGGAAAUGAGAGGUAAGCCUAAUGCAACGUGCAGGGCCAAACAGCUACUCUGACAUUUAGAUCUCACUCUGUAUAUCCCCUGCUCCUCCACCGGCCCCAUAUCAACCCCAACACACAGAGGAAAGGUAACCCCCCCCCCCCCCCACCACCACCGGCUAUACGGGACCCGUGUAUCACUCCUGUCUCGAGUAAUCAGAAAGGGUCAGUCUAUUUCCUGGCCUCCAGGUGGCUUUCUGAUCUCGUCAUGUAGGUACUGUUAUGUUUAGAGCACUGUAGACCAUUAAUGAUAUAGACCAUUAAUGAGCAUUUCUAUUGAUUCAGGUCUAUUGGAGAUAGAAACUGUGGGAGUUAUUAAGGAUAAAACAGAAAUGUAACGACGUGUAGAGAAGAAAAAAAGAAAAAAAACUGUACCAGCAUACAAUGCUUUGCCCAUGUUUGUGGACAGAGUAUGGUUUGUCAAUGAAAAUGUGAUACUGUUUCAAAUUUCAAAGCAAUAUUAUAUUAAUGAAAAAUUAAAUAAUACAAUGACAAAACAAUCCCUAUCACGUCUGUUGUCAGCUUUGGUUUUGCAUUAUGGCUCAAAAAGUCAAUCACAGAAGGAAACAUAACACCGUCUGUUUGAAAGGUAAAGUGACAAACCUGUUGGGUCAUAUUUAACAAUUAUACUUUCAGUGUUUCCCCUGAACUAGAACAUUUAAUGUAUAAUGUCAACAAACAAUUAGUCUUGAUGUGUGCCUACCAUGGUUUGGAUUACACAUUGAGAAACUGAAACGUUGACUUUAAUUAAAGAUUUCCCACAACUGUAUUAAGUUAGUUGAAAGCAAUAUCAUUAAGUUUGAUGAAAAAACAUUGAUAUUAUUGUCAAGUCACAGAGCUAAGCAUUUGAUUUGUGGCAUGGUGUUUUAAAAAAAAUAUUCUGCUGUGUUGAUGACAUUUUCAGAAUCCUCAAAUCUCUUACCCAUUUAAACCUACAGUAACUUUCUACUGUAAAUGACUAUACCUGUGUUGAAUAUGUUGUUGAGUUGUCAACUAACACAAUCUUAAAUGUCACCAAUUAUUUUUCCAAACCUUGAGAAAUCCCUUAUUUUAUUCAACGUAACAGUCCAUUUCAUUGGGUCUCCUGUACUCACAACGUGUGCUUGUUCAGCGUAUAUAACGUUGUGUUUCUCCGCUAAAAGUCAUAUAUUGUCUUUUCAAACUAUUUAAAGCCACAUUUUUACGAUGCAUUGUUGAAGAAACAAUGAUUUUCAUCAUCUGAAACGGCUCAACAUAAAAUGACCAGGUUUU